rnacentral:tRNA from 1 species
AAUACUCAAGUAGCUUAAUAACCAAAGC